rnacentral:rRNA from 1 species
AUCUGCCCAGUAGUGGGGGAUAACGUGUGGAAACGCACGCUAAUACCGCAUACGUCCUACGGGAGAAAGCAGGGGAUCUUCGGACCUUGCGCUAUUGGAUGAGCCCAAGUCAGAUUAGCUAGUUGGUGGGGUAAUGGCUCACCAAGGCGACGAUCUGUAGCUGGUCUGAGAGGAUGAUCAGCCACACUGGGACUGAGACACGGCCCAGACUCCUACGGGAGGCAGCAGUGGGGAAUAUUGCACAAUGGGCGAAAGCCUGAUGCAGCCAUGCCGCGUGUGUGAAGAAGGCUCUAGGGUUGUAAAGCACUUUCAGUGGGGAGGAAAAGUUUAAGAUUAAUACUCUUG